GCUCAUUAAAUCAGUUAUCGUUUAUUUGAUAGUACCUUACUACUUGGAUAUCCGUGGUAAUUCUAGAGCUAAUACAUGCUAAAAUCCCCGACUUCGGAAGGGGUGUGUUUAUUAGAUAAAAAACCAAUGCCCUUCGGGGCUCUUUGGUGAUUCAGAAUAACUUUUCGAAUCGCAUGGCCUUGCGCCGGCGAUGGUUCAUUCAAAUUUCUGCCCUAUCAACUUUCGAUGGUAAGGUAUUGGCUUACCAUGGUUUCAACGGGUAACAGAGAAUUAGGGUUCGAUUCUGGAGAGGGAGCCGGAGGAACGGCUCCUACAUCCAAGGAAGGCAGCAGGCGCGCAAAUUACCCAAUCCCGACACGGGGAGGUAGUGACAAUAAAUACUGAUACAGGGCUCUUUUGGGUCUUGUAAUCGGAAUGAGUACAAUUUAAACCCCUUAACGAGGAACAAUUGGAGGGCAAGUCUGGUGCCAGCAGCCGCGGUAAUUCCAGCUCCAAUAGCGUAUAUUAAAGUUGUUGCAGUUAAAAAGCUCGUAGUUGAACCUUGGGCCUGGCUGGCCGGUCCGCCUCACCGCGUGUACUGGUCCGGCCGGGCCUUUCCUUCUGGAGAACCUCAUGCCCUUCACUGGGUGUGCUGGGGAACCAGGACUUUUACUUUGAGAAAAUUAGAGUGUUCAAAGCAGGCCUUUGCUCGGAUACGUUAGCAUGGAAUAAUAGAAUAGGACGUGCGGUUCUAUUUUGUUGGUUUCUAGAACCGCCGUAAUGAUUAAUAGGGACAGUCGGGGGCGUCAGUAUUCAAUUGUCAGAGGUGAAAUUCUUGGACCAAUUGAAGACUAACUACUGCGAAAGCAUUCGCCAAGGAUGUUUUCAUUAAUCAGUGAACGAAAGUUAGGGGAUCGAAGACGAUCAGAUACCGUCGUAGUCUUAACCGUAAACUAUGCCGACUAGGGAUCGGGCGAUGUUCUAUAAUGACUCGCUCGGCACCUUACGAGAAAUCAUAAGUU
rnacentral:rRNA from 1 species